ACAAGGCAUGGAGGAAUCAGUAUCACUCUCAAAGUGUCUGUUGUUUGUAUUGUACUUAUGUUGCCUAAUGAACCCCUCUUGACUUCCUGAACAUACAAGCCAGAAGGAAGAUAUGAACUGAAUGGGACUGGGAAGAAAGGGCAUUUGGAGAAAGAGCCACAUCACCACACCUGUUAUCCCCAAAGCACACACUUCUCUAGCAAUGCUCUAACCUCUGGGAAGAGGAGAAUUUUGAGGUCAUCUUCAUCAGCUGGUUCACAGUAUUGGCAAAACAAGAUACUGUAUAUGGAUUGGCUAGAGCUGGGAAUAGUUUUUGAAGAAAGAAAGAGGCAUGCAUAGGCUCCUUUGAAAUUCCAAGUAUUGACCUACAUCAGAUGGCAGCUGAUGGUAGUAAACCUGAGAAACCAACCUGCUAAAAGGAAGCCGAUGGUCACUCUGAUGAUAACUACAGCUCAGGCAGGAUUCAACACUUACUCGGGGAAAUUCCAGUCCUGCCAGCCCUGACCUGGCCCAUCUGAGACCUACCACCACUUCUCCCUAGUGAGGUUUGGCUGGGGCCAUGCCUGGGUCGCCACUGUUGCUGCCUGUCCUGGAGGUGUAGAGCUGCACCAGAAGGUGCUGCUGUUUUUCCUAUAAACUGUGAGAUCGUCUCCACAGGGAUCUGUCCCUUUUCUUUGAUAAGUAGGAAAUAUACCUCUGUGGCACUAGACUCCGUCAUCUUGUCCCCUGUACCAACAUCACAUAGAGACUGAGCAAACAUCUUGCCACAUCUUGCACUCACCUCCAUUGUGAAGUGUUCCUCGGGCACUGACAGACAUGGAAAAAACAAAACAACCUCCUCCCCCCCCUCCCACUCUACUGGAAGCAGCAGUGCAUUAUUUUGACCUGGCUCUGCAGUAUCUGCAUAGAUCAGGCACUUCAGUGGGACUUUGUGGUGCUUUUAGCUAAAGCUGAUUCAAUCAGCUAUUAGAUAAAAGCGCCAAAUCGAUACAAAUGUUGGGAAAGCUGGGUGCGACUAAUGUUCGGUCUCUUCUGAGAAUGUGCUAGAGCAUGCUGAGUUUAAAGUGCUGGGUCCUGGGCCCCACAACAUGUCAGCAGUUUUUUUUUCUUCCUAAACAGCAGUUACUAACAUAGUAACUAAUAGGGCUGUGUGAAGCUUUGGUCGCAGAUUCGAUUCGGCGGAGAUCUGGCCUUAUUCGGCAGCCGAAUCUCUGAAUUGAAUCAGGAGACCCUUUAAUCUUGGGAUUUCUGUUUUUGGUAAACAGACUAAAUUAAGAUGUGUGCAUGUGAUGGGUUUGUUGGAACAAAGGACUAUACUGAUAGGACAGAAUGUGGGCAGUAUGACUACCACAGGGAAACCAACCAGUGAUACUCAGGAAUGAAGUCUCAUCAGAGAGGAGAAAGAAUACAAAAGGAGGGAUUUCAGAAUAGCAAAUGGUUCCUGGGGAGGGAACCCAAAGUCACCAUGGACAGAGGGCAAACCAUCAGCCUGUGUCACCCAUGCCACUGUGUGUGUGUUGGGGGGCUGGGGUGGGGGCGAGAAGUUAGCCUUGGCCCUUGACCUCCAGCUUGCAUACUGGUCAGAAGUAUCUUCUCUCUGCGACAGCCCUAGGAAUGGUAGAUAUAGGAUUGGGGAGGUUAUUUUGUUUGCCUUGCCUGCAUUAUUCUUAUCUGCUACCAGUAUGUAUCAAUAAAGUUUGCCUAUUAUUGAAUGGAAA